rnacentral:rRNA from 1 species
UGGGGAAUAUUGGACAAUGGGCGAAAGCCUGAUCCAGCCAUGCCGCGUGUGUGAAGAAGGUCUUCGGAUUGUAAAGCACUUUAAGUUGGGAGGAAGGGCAGUAAGCGAAUACCUUGCUGUUUUGACGUUACCGACAGAAUAAGCACCGGCUAACUCUGUGCCAGCAGCCGCGGUAAUACAGAGGGUGCAAGCGUUAAUCGGAAUUACUGGGCGUAAAGCGCGCGUAGGUGGUUCGUUAAGUUGAAUGUGAAAGCCCCGGGCUCAACCUGGGAACUGCACCCAAAACUGGCGAGCUAGAGUAGGGCAGAGGGUGGUGGAAUUUCCUGUGUAGCGGUGAAAUGCGUAGAUAUAGGAAGGAACACCAGUGGCGAAGGCGACCACCUGGGCUCAUACUGACACUGAGGUGCGAAAGCGUGGGGAGCAAACAGG